GUGGCGAAUGGGCCAAUCAGAAUUCUUUUCAUUGGGGCGGAUGUUGUGGGAUUGUUGUGUGAAAGACCGCAGAGCGAAGGAAAGUAAAGCGGAGGCUGGGAUCGGUCUCGUGGGCUCAGUAGGGGUUCUGGGGGAGUUGCCUUGGGCGAAAGACGUUUUUAAACGUCUUCCGGGGAGGAAGCGAGAGCAGCUGCUCAUUGAAAACAAUGGAGAAAUCUAGGUUUUAGCAUAGCUGAGAUGCUGGUGCUUAGGGACUCACAUCGCAUCCGCUGCUGAAGUGGAAUUCCUCUCCUCCUGACACAUUCCAAAAUGCUAAGCGUGACACAUAAUAGAUUUAAAUUGGAGAAAAUGAGAGCUGCCCUUACAGAAACAACAGAGAAAUCCAGGAUUUUGAUAUAUUAUUAAUCCUGUGUUACAGGCUAUAUUGUACUUUUUUUUUUUCAAUUGAUUAAAGCUAUUAAUCUUGUAUUGUGGCUUACAUCAUCCCUGCAACAUAAUCCUCUUAUUAUUCAUUGAUAAUAUGUACUUGAGAAUAUAUAAUUAACCACUCCCACACAUUUGUACAACCUCAGGGUUAUUAAAUAGUGCUCUAAAAUCCUGCAAUGGAUGUUAUACCACUUUACACCUGUGCCGUAUCACGUUCUUGCUGGAAUUGUUUUGGAUUUCUAGCAAAAUAUAUCCCACACAGAGAGAAAUUCUGGACCUCUUCCUUUUGGAGGUCUUCCCAAUCCAUUUUGGUUUUUACCAUCCUGAAUAUGUAUCAUUUGGAAAUCUCCCUGCUCAUCCCUUAUUAUUAAAAGCUAAUUUUGGUUGUGGUUUUAGCUUGGAUUUUUAACUUGGUUAAUUUGGUUAAUUUUAUUAGUCUGGUUUUAUAUUGAAACUUUUAUAAAUGUUGUGAGCCACCCCGAGCAGUAAUGUACUGGAGUGGCGGGGUAUAAAUGUUUAUUUAUUUAUUUGUUGUUGUUGCUGUUGUUACACAGUCAUAAUAAUUAAGUCAUCAUCAUCAUUAUUAUUAUUUAUUUACACAGUUUGACAGGUGUUAUUGACUGGUUUGUUUUAUCCAGACAUCGAGUCCUUCCCAAGGACCUGGGAUGGCUGAAUUUUAUUAUCAGUGUUGUUGCAGUUAUUAUAGAUAUCGUCGCAGAAUAUAGGCUGUUACCAGUAAAGCUGCUUUUUGUAAUUGGCUGAUGGUGAUUUCUGUGGCCUCUAUGGUGUUGAGGUGCUCUUCAAGUUGUUUUAGAAUUGCAUCUAGGGCACCACUUACCACUGGGAUUAUUUUGGUCUUUUUCUGCCACAGCCUUUCAAUUUCAAUUUGUAGAUCUUUGUAUUUUGUGAUUUUUUAAUUUCUUUUUCUUCUAUUCUGCUAUCCCCUGGUCGAUUAUUUUAACUUGUUUUUCUUUCUUCUCGACUACAGUUAUAUCUGGUGUAUUGUGUGGCAGAUGUUUGUCUGUUUGUAGUCGGAAGUCCCAUAAUAUUUUUGCAUCUUCGUUUUCUACAACUUUUUCAAUUUUAUGGUCCCACCAAUCUUCAGCUACAGGUAGCUUGUAUUUUUUGCAGAUGUUCCAGUGUAUCAUCCCGGCUACCUUUGUUUGUAGUCAGCCUGUGCAAUCUUUUUACAACAGCUGAUUAGGUGGUCCACGGUUUCAUCUGCUUCUUUACAAAGGCGGCACUUGCUUUUUGUUGUUGAUUUUUUGACUUUUGCUCUUAUUGCAUUGGUUCUUAGUGCCUGUUCUUGUGCAGCCAGUAUUAAACCCUCUGUCUCUUUCUUCAAGUUGCCGUUCUUAAGCCAUUGCCAGGUCUUGGUGAUGUCUGAUUUUCUAUUUAUAUUGUGCAAAUAUUGACCAUGCAGUGGCUUAUUUUUCUGCUCGGUUCUUGACUUGUUCUUUCUUAUAGGCCUGCUUUGUUUCAUUGGUGUUGAAUAGUUUUGCAUUAUUGACCAUUUGAAGUGCAUCUUCUUCACUGUCCUUGAUAUAUUCUUCAAGGCCUCUUUUCUCCUCCUCUACUAUUUGAUGGACUUGCCGCAUUCCUCUUCCACCUGAGCUGCGAGGGAGGUAUAGCCUAUCUACAUCACUGCAGGGGUGCAGAGCAUGAUUGAUGGUCAUGAUUUUCCUGGUCUUACGAUCUAGUGUCUCUAGCUCUGCCUGAGUCCAGUCUAUUAUUCCUGCAGUGUGUCUGGUAACAGGUAUAGCCCAGGUGUUUAUGGCUUGUAUGGUGUUCCCGCCAUUGAGUUUGGACUUUAGGAUUUUUCUAACUCUCCUGAUGUAUUCACUUCCCAUUUUUCUUUUAACUUCAGUGUGUGCAAUUUUAUCAGCCUGGAGAAUGCCCAAGUAUUUGUAAUGUUCUUUCUCUUCCAGGUUCUUGAUGUUGCUUCCAUUGGGUUGUUCUAUUCCUUCUGUUUUUCUUAUUUUUCCUCUGUUCAUUAUUAAUGCAGCACACUUGUCUAGUCCAAACUCCAUUGCUAUAUCGCUACUGAAUCUACGGACAGUGUUUAGCAGUGAUUUGAUUCUGACUGGGACUUUCCAUACAACUUCAGAUCGUCCAUGUACAGCAGAUGGUUGAUUUGACUUGAUGUUUUAGAUGUUUGGUAUCCAAGGCCUGUUUUGUUUAGUAUUUGUGAAAGUGGGGUCAUGGCGAUUACAAACAACAGAGGAGAUAGUGAGUCCCUUGGAAAAUACCUCUUCUAAUGCUAACCUGUCCAAGUGUCUUGCCAUUGAUUGUUAACUGUGUACUCCACAUGCUCAUUGCUUUUUUAAUAAAUAUCUGAAUGUUUUUGCUGACACCAGUUGUUUCUAAACAUUUUAGUAUCCAUGUGUGAGGCAAUGAGUCGAAGGCUUUCUUGUAGUCGAUCCAUGCAACACUUUGAUUGGUUUUUCUUCUCUUGCAAUUUUCUAAAAUCAUUUUGUCAAUCAUUUUCAUCAUCAUCAUCAUCAUUAUUAUUAUUAUUGAUCAUUUAUGAAGAAAUUAAAAGCCACCAGUCCCACUACAGAUCCUAGGGGAAACUCACUUCAUUCUUUCUACCUCAGUGGGAGGAAAGGAAAAGUUUGAAGAAGUAGUCAGAAUUGGGAUGUGCUACAUAUCAACUUUUUAAAUGAGGGGAAAAACCUGGAGUGGGCCCUUCAUUUCCUCAUAGAGGCCUGUAGGACCAACAACUCCCCUGUGAGGAGGAAGAAGUGGAGGAAAAGCAAGUACUAUGUCACCAUAGUGAUCUCCACCUGUUGCUGCUUCUGUGGUUGGGAUUGGGCCCACAGAAGCCUCUAGCAGAACCAUCAACUGUCCUGUGAGGUGAGAUGUUGAUGAUGAAGCCUUUUGGGGGGCGGGGGGGAUGAUUGGCAAGUAGAAGCUGUCAAUCAAGAAGAAUUGAAUCUGGGUACCUCAGUGGAUAAUUCCUAAGGGAGGGACUUUAGGAUGGAGGGAACAGGAGGUUAUAAAUAGGGUUGACAGUUAACUAAAAAGUCAGAUAGGGACAGUUAGGGUCUCUGAUAUUGGUAAAUCCGGGUAUUACCUGGUGCGUGAAAUGCCCAAUUAAUCCACACCAAGAGGAGAACUGUUCAAAUCUUUAUUUGCCUCUGCAGAGUAAAAGAAAGAAUGGCUCUGGGAAGUAAGUUUCCAAACAGAGCAGCCCAAAAUGGAGUCUGCUCAAAGUAUAUAUACAAAGAUGGGUACAAGCUUCACACCUCUGGCGAAAGACCAGGAAACAAGGUAUCAAUCUGGCAAGUCAACACCCAGCACAGUAUCUCCAGUGACUGUUGCUGGUGUCUGUCUUGUGUUUCUUUUUAGAUUGUGAGCCCUUUGGGGACAGAGAUCCAUCUUAUUUAUUUAUUAUUUCUCUGUGUAAACCGCUGGGGUGGCCCAGAGUAAGUGGUAGUCUAGUGCACAGAGGCUGCCAACCACCCCCAUGGGUUGCUAACCCAUGGGGUACUGGGUUUUGUUGUUUCUGAGGUGUUCUGAGUGUAGAUUCUCUAAACAACAUCAACAGAAAAACUUGGGGGGGGAAGUGGGACAAUAUUUACUGAAUAUAUGUAAAUAUUAAUGUAUGCCCAUAUUAAGUGCAUAUGUAGCACUCCAAUAUCAGGAAUAUAAAUGAUAUAAGUCAAAGUUUUGAAUGUUAAAGAAAAAAAUACCAGGGCAAGGGGUAACACCAGAAAAAUGGCCGGAAGUGGGCUGCUGAGCACAGGAAGCAAGACUAACCAGGUAAGUGCAAUUGGCGGAUUAAGGGGCAUGCCAGACCACUGAUGCUUCACCCCUGCAGCAGGGAGUUGUGACUGAUUUUUACACACACACACACACUCGCGUUCUGUCCUGACUGUUGUUUCCAGGACAGCUUGUAGGUACAAUUUAUUUCUGGCUAUUAUGUGAAGCUUUGGAGGUAUAAUCAGGAGCGGGGAAAGGCAGGAACUGUCAUUUGAAGUAUGAAUGUUUUAGUGGUGAAGAAGCAUUAUAUCACAGUGAGGAAAACAACUCCCUCAGCUAUUUAAAGUGUUGUCAUGUCCAUCCCACACACACACACCCCGCCAAGUCUUCUCUUUUCCUUUCUUACUGAGUUCCUUCAACCUUUCCUGAUGGGGAAAUUGUAGUAGUGGUGGUAGUCUUUUAUAUGUGCCCCCCUCUCAGUUAAUCACUAAGCUUUUUGACAGUUUUUUAGAUGUCUCCUUUGUUUCUGCCUCAUUGGAAUGAUUUGUGACUACACUUUUAUCAACUUUUCUUCAGUAACUGUCACCCAUCUUGGGCUCUCUUCCCUAUUAGUUAGGGCUCUCUUCCCUAUUAGUUAGGGCUCUCCUUCCCUAUUAACCAUCAAGGAUAACAUAUUCUCUGCCUUCACCUUCUAAAAGAGGAAGUUGUCAGCAAGGAUGUUGUCAGGGAUUUGUUGGAGAUAUGGUGCUUAGCAAAAUUGGUCUUCAAACAGGUACAAGGAUAGCUGAAGUUCCCCUUUACUACUUAUUCAUGUUUCCUUGAAACAUAUGUAAUUUGUUUCAGGAAAGUAUCAUCCACAUUCUUUCCCUGAGAUGGCAGUCUGUAGUAAAUUUACAAUACUGUUAUUUCCUUCUCUAUUCAUUUUAUCCAGAUGCUACCCUAUCUCUUAAAGUAGUCUUCCAGCAAAAUAUAGUUGCUGACCAAGGCAUUUAGAGCAUCACAAUAGUAACUUUCCAACCUACUAAGUGAAAAACAGCAAUGUUAUAUUAUGAACCUAUUAGUAAAUAUUUCCUAGUGUGGCCUCCCUUUUUGGUCUCCCAGUGUUUGAACAAUGAUUUUCCUCUAUUAUAAACUAUAGAUAACCAUGGGGCUUUCAAAAGUACAAUAACUGUAGUGCAUACAGUACAUUUGAAUUUCAAUUCUGCAAACUAUUUUUUCCUGAGAUAAGAAUAUAAGAACAGCCCUGCUGGAUCAGGCCCAAGGCCCAUCUAGUCCAGCAUCCCAUUUUGCACAGUGGCCCACCAGAUGCCGCUGGAAGCCACAGGCAGGAGUUGAGGGCAUGCCCUCCCACCUGCUGUCACUCCCCUGCAACUGGUACUCAGAGGCAUCCUGCCUUUGAGGCUGAAGGUGGCCCACAGCCCUCCGACUAGUAACCGUCAAUAGACCUCUCCUCCAUGAAGUUAUCCAAACCUCUCUUAAAGCUAUCCAGGAUAAAAGGUGCACAUUUAUGCAAAUAUAUGCUAGAAUAGUCUAUUCAAUCUUGGCACUGUUGUGGAGCUACAGAUGCCAUUUCUUGUUCAAUUUAUAGCAAUAGUAAUUAGCAAUAGUAACAUAGGAUGCAAUAAUUCCUACUGAAUCUUCAAAAUCCCUAGUUUGUACGCCAGUUGCAAUUGUAAUUCCCUGAUACACCACAAGAUGCCACAGAAAAAUAAGGAAUAGUGAGUGAGCAGAAAUCUUGCAUUGCUAUUCCAUUAACAUGUUACAACUUGCAAUAUAAUCUUUAGACAGCAAUAUCUCAUAACUAAGAUCCACGUGUGUGAGUCUAAAAUGCAGUAAUUUGCUUAAUGAAGUGAUUAUGCAAACUAUUCCAGCAUCGAUAAUUUAAUCUAUUAUUUACUAUUUUUAAAAUAAUUUGAUUAGGGAACAGAACUUGAUUGGAAUGGUACUCUGAUUGUAUACAUGCAGAUUUACAAUCCUUUCCUUGUGCAACCCUCUGUGUCUUGUCUGUAAAAACUGCCACAAAACUUGCUGAGCCAUUAAAAGCUGUCCUGCCACUGCACUGAAGUCUAUUGACUCUUCUUAGCGUUUCUGAUUACCAUUGAGGUUCUUUCCACAAUGUGCCUGCAAAAGCUCUUUAACAGACUCCAAUUUAUCAGAAAUUAAAUAAGUUUUCUGGAAAAUACUCAACAAUAUCUCUGUUGUAAGCAUGGAGUAACUUAAUAAAGGGUCUUGAGGGUCUUCCACCCUCUUGCCCACAUCCAUACAGGAGAGAAGCUCAGAUGAAACACCAGAAAUGCCAGAACAGUCAGAGUCCUCCCCAUGAGCAGCUAAAUUCUCAGCAGCUGUAACCAACUCCAAGCAGCACAUCAUUUUCCAAAGCUACAAGUCUAUUGCAAAGUUCUACAUUGCUCAAAGGGGAAAAAAUGGUCGAUUUUCGGCUGCUUAGGUUGUUUAUUCCUGGCAUUAAUAAGUCCCUCAGGGGAAGUUCUUAUUCUCUUCUUGUUUCUCAUGUUCCAAUAACAUUCAGUAUGCCGCAAGAGAUAAUACAGGCAAAACAGCUCACCCAAGGACGGAACUAAUUAUCUUGCUUCCUUGGUAGUAAAUAAAACUUAUCUGAUAGCAACCAUUAAAAUGAUAUAUUGCAGUCCGUAGCUGUCAAGAUCAAAAAGCUCCAAAACCAAAAUACAGAGAGUUAAGAUAAAAUAAGAGCAAAGAGCUCUCCAAAAGCUGUUACACCAGCGCCUUCUUGACUCCUACCCAACUUGCAAUAAGUUAAAACACCAUGUAAGCGUCUGGUGUAACUACUAGAAGUGAGAAUACUAAAGCAUUGCUCUUAACACCACAGUAAGCUCUUUUGGCCACUAGAGGCGUGAUGAGAUGUUAAUAGGUCUUGUCAUGGUCAGUUAGAGUAGAAUCAUUCAGUUGUUGAUGAAGGCUAGUGCCUGUUUUGAUAUGUUGUUCAAUGGCGCUUUCUCAGUAUGUGAUGUUUUAGUUUCGUAAUACAUCUCUGGGUUUAUUUUUUUAACUCAACCUAAUUUCUCCAGAUAAUCUCUUGGGCUAAAUUUAUUUACCACCAGAGCAUACUCUGCUGUGUGGUGACUUUAAUGUUUCUCCUCAAAUACCCCAACAGUGACUUCCAGGUCAGGAAUUGAAAUUCUGUUUAUUUAUUAAUAUGUUAGAGCUUUAAGUGACAUAGAGGAUUUCCAUAAUGAUACAAGAAACUACUCAGAAUGGAUCAUACCAAUAGCUGCUCCUAUUGUCACAAAUUGUUGUCCUCAUCAGCAUCAUAAGCUUACAAUUAUCUUGGCUUCCCAAAUUACCCAAGGCCAGCUGCAUACCUUACACACUUGCCUACACCCAGGCUGAGGAGAGUCUUUUCUCAAGCCCGUUUUAAUGUCCUCCCUUCAGCUGUUUUGUAGGGCAGAUUUUGAGGGACCCCCUUGGAGGAACAUUUGUGCCCAUGCGGAGCUGCUGAGGUGGAAACAGUAACACAUAUUUUGUUCAACUGCUCUUUUUAUAUCGCUCGUUCUAUUCAGAUUGAUCCCUAUCAAAAGAAACACUUGGAUUGGUCUGAGGAACAUUUGUUUAUUUUUUAGAAGAUAAGCAUGAAGAAGUCACCCAUAGGAUUGCUUGUUUUUGUUCAAAGGCAUGUAAAAUAAGGUGUCUGCAAAAUGGUUUUUAAAUUUUACUUAUGUUAUUGUAUUGGUUUUUGCUGUAGUGCUUAUUUGGUCAUUGACUGUGAAUAAAUGAAAUGAAUGAGCA